GGUUGCGAUCAUACCAACACUAAUGCACCGGAUCCCAUCAGAACUCCGCAGUUAAGCGUGCUUGGGCGAGAGUAGUACUAGGAUGGGUGACCCCCUGGGAAGUCCUCGUGUUGCAACCCC
rnacentral:rRNA from 1 species